rnacentral:rRNA from 1 species
AUGAACGCUGGCGGCGUGCCUAACACCUGCCCGUCGAGCGGCAGCGAGGGGUGCUUGCCCCCUGCCGGCGAGCGGCGGACGGCUGAGUAACGCGUGGGAACGUGCCCCAAAGUGAGGAAUAACUGCCCGAAAGGGUAGCUAAUACCGCAUAUUAUCUUCGGAUCAAAGGAUUUAUCCGCUUUGGGAGCGGCUCGCGUCGGAUUAGGUAGUUGGUGAGGUAAUGGCUCACCAAGCCGACGAUCCGUAGCUGGUCUGAGAGGAUGACCAGCCAGACUGGAACUGAGACACGGUCCAGACUCCUACGGGAGGCAGCAGUGAGGAAUCUUCCACAAUGGGCGAAAGCCUGAUGGAGCAACGCCGCGUGCAGGACGAAGGCCUUCGGGUUGUAAACUGCUUUUAUAAGUGAGGAAUAUGACGGUAACUUAUGAAUAAGGAUCGGCUAACUACGUG